GACGAACGCUGGCGGCGUGCUUAACACAUGCAAGUCGAGCGAUGAAGUUCCUUCGGGAAUGGAUUAGCGGCGGACGGGUGAGUAACACGUGGGUAACCUGCCUCAUAGAGGGGAAUAGCCUUUCGAAAGGAAGAUUAAUACCGCAUAAGAUUGUAGUAUCGCAUGAUACAGCAAUUAAAGGAGUAAUCCGCUAUGAGAUGGACCCGCGUCGCAUUAGCUAGUUGGUGAGGUAACGGCUCACCAAGGCGACGAUGCGUAGCCGACCUGAGAGGGUGAUCGGCCACAUUGGGACGGAGGCACGGCCCAGACUCCUACGGGAGGCAGCAGUGGGGAAUAUUGCACAAUGGGGGAAACCCUGAUGCAGCAACGCCGCGUGAGUGAUGACGGUCUUCGGAUUGUAAAACUCUGUCUUCAGGGACGAUAAUGACGGUACCUGAGGAGGAAGCCACGGCUAACUACGUGCCAGCCGCCGCAGUAA
rnacentral:rRNA from 1 species